GAUGAACGCUGGCGGCGUGCCUAAUACAUGCAAGUCGAGCGAACAGACGAGGAGCUUGCUCCUCUGACGUUAGCGGCGGACGGGUGGGUAACACGUGGAUAACCUACCUAUAAGACUGGGAUAACUUCGGGAAACCGGAGCUAAUACCGGAUAAUAUAUUGAACCGCAUGGUUCAAUAGUGAAAGACGGUUUUGCUGUCACUUAUAGAUGGAUCCGCGCCGCAUUAGCUAGUUGGUAAGGUAACGGCUUACCAAGGCAACGAUGCGUAGCCGACCUGAGAGGGUGAUCGGCCACACUGGAACUGAGACACGGUCCAGACUCCUACGGGAGGCAGCAGUAGGGAAUCUUCCGCAAUGGGCGAAAGCCUGACGGAGCAACGCCGCGUGAGUGAUGAAGGUCUUCGGAUCGUAAAACUCUGUUAUUAGGGAAGAACAAAUGUGUAAGUAACUAUGCACGCCUUGACGGUACCUAAUCAGAAAGCCACAGCUAACUACGUG
rnacentral:rRNA from 1 species